rnacentral:rRNA from 1 species
GGAAGUCGGACCUGCCCGGUGAAAAUUUUAACGGCCGCGGUACUCUGACCGUGCAAAGGUAGCAUAAUCACUUGCCUUAUAAUUGAAGGCUAGUAUGAAUGGUUUGACGAAAGCGUAUCUGUCUCUUUUCUAUUUUGUAAAAAUUAACCUCCAGGUGAAGAGGCCUGCUUAUAAUUGAAGGACGAGAAGACCCUGUCGAGCUUUAAGAAAAAAAGGAAAAUUUUAUACUUGUAAAUAUAAAACCUUUUCUAUCUUUUGGUUGGGGCGACUAGGGAACAAAAGAAGCUUCCCUUAACUAUUAAACCUUUUUGUUAGGAUCCAGUACUUUCUGAUUAAAAGAAUUAGUUACCGCAGGGAUAACAGCAUAAUCCCUUUUGAGAGACCUAAUCGAAAAAGGGGGUUGUGACCUCGAUGUUGGACUAGGAUAUCCUAAAGGUGCAGAAGCCUUUAAUGGUUGGUCUGUUCGACCAUAAAAAUCCU